AAUUAGAUAUAAAUAGGGGUGGAGAUAUAAUUUUAAAGAGUUUAAAAUUAUCUAAAUAUCUGAAAAAAAUGAGAACUAAUAUGGAUAUUCAGAUUUUCCAAUUAUUACGACAAACGCACAAACGGAAACGAAAUGACGAACACAAAAUUAUCAAACUAUAAGCAGAAAUGAAAGAACACACAGAUAUACGUGAAAAAUUCUUUGCAGGAAAAAAACUACGGGGGAGGGAGGAGAGAACUUCACUAUCCAAACUCAAAAGGGAAUACACUGUUCUUCAGAUUUCAACCAACCAUGAUCACACGCCUCUACGGGCUCGGGCCUGUCGGCCCGAGCCCUCCGCUACCCACCACAGACAUUUAUUUUUCCUCCAUAAUUUUCUUUUCCAAUUUGGUAGCACCGCGAAACAGUCGGCGAGUCGAAUAUCAAUUUCGAGUCACAUCUAACACCAGUAGUAUUAUAUCAAUAUUAUAUCUUGUAUUAU
rnacentral:lncRNA from 1 species